CCGGGUCAAUGGACAAAGCCAAUGCAAUGUUACGCGACUCGGGUUCGCAUGCUUAUUUUUAUUUAUUAUGGUAAUCAGUCUAUUUCCGGCAUCAUGUAACAUUUAUCGUUAUGAACAUUGAUGUUUUUACUUACUGAACAUUGGUUUCUUUUACAUAAAUUAAACAUCUUUAUACGUUUUGAAAUUAAUUUAAUGUUUUUGUUGGAUUUGAACUUUGUCUUGUAUAUUUUUUUACUUGUCCACGGGCAACCAAGACAAAAAUAAUUACUUGUCCGGUUGUUCAAAUGUACGAGUCGGGCGAGUCGGGCAUAGCAUUUCCACACCCCUGAACAUACGUAUGUUAUCACAUUUCUUUGAUUUUUUAAUCCACAAUAACAAAUGUAUGUUAUUUUCCUGUAAUAACCCUAUAGAG
rnacentral:lncRNA from 1 species